rnacentral:rRNA from 1 species
GAAGGUUUUCGGAUCGUAAAGCUCUGUUGUUAGGGAAGAACAAGUACCGUUCGAAUAGGGCGGUACCUUGACGGACCUAACCAGAAAGCCACGGCUAACUACGUGCCAGCAGCCGCGGUAAUACGUAGGUGGCAAGCGUUGUCCGGAAUUAUUGGGCGUAAAGGGCUCGCAGGCGGGUCUUAAGUCUGAUGUGAAAGCCCCCGGCUCAACCGGGGAGGGUCAUUGAAACUGGGGAACUUGAGUGCAGAAGAGGAGAGUGGAAUUCCACGUGUAGCGGUAAAUGCGUAAGAUGUGGGGAACACCAGUGGCGAAGGCGACUCUCUGGUCUGUAACUGACGCUGAGGAGCGAAAGGUGUGAGCGAACAGGAUUAGAUACCCUG